GGCAUUGUCGCGUACCGCCUCCGCCCCCACCCCUCGGCCGACGCUGCGUAGCGAUCGACAUGCGAUCGACCAUUCCAGUGUCGAUCGCCUCGAAGAUGAAGUGGGAGCCGUUCAAGGGUUCCGGUGCCAUCUCUGUCGGCUCGUGAAUUCCUCUUCCCCUCUCCUCUCUCUCCCUGCCUCAUUGUUCCUCACUUUCUUUAGGGUUUUCUCCUCGCCCGGCGCUUCGCAUCGAUCGAUCAUUCCGACGCCGGCCGCCUCAACGAUGAAGUGGGAGCCGUCCAAGGUUCCGGUGUCACCCUGUCAGCUCUAUGGAGCUUUCGUGCCCUAAGAGCUAUCUCGUGGUCGCUUCGGUCGAUCCUGAGCCAUGGACCUCCGUGGACGAUCUCGUGUUCGGGCUCAAAGCCCAAGAGUCACAGCUCGGAUAUAAUUCUCCACCGGUGCCUCUCAAGCAACCCCCUGAAUGGUCUCUCCUCGACAAAAGGCAAUGGAUGUGAGAGACAAAACGAGGCUGGGAGGGAGCACGGCGGCUGGCUGGAGGAUCUCCUGCCCUGAUUUUGAUUUCAGGGACGAAUCUUGACUUGCAAGUCAAGGGUUGAAGGACUCGGUCUACUGUGUGCAUUCUUUCCACCAACGUGUGGAAAACUCGGCAUAUCCGGCUAGUUCACGCCAUGGAUUAGCCAAUGGAGACGAACAGGGACUUGAUCUCCAAAUUCCAUGUUUCUGGUUUUCUUACAUCCACUUACCAUUUGCUCGGGGAUGUCAAGUGGAUGAGAAUUUGAAUGGUUGUUGGUUCUUAGAUAGAUAUACAGGCACAUGGCAGUUUAAAAGACUAAUAUAAACAUGUCCUUGUCAUA